rnacentral:tRNA from 1 species
UGGGGCUAUAGCUCAGCUGGGAGAGCGCUUGCAUGGCAUGCAAGAGGUCAGCGGUUCGAUCCCGCUUAGCUCAACCA